rnacentral:rRNA from 1 species
GAUUGAACGCUGGCGGCAGGCCUACCCCAUGCAAGUCGAGCGGAUGAAGGGAGCUUGCUCCUGGAUUCAGCGGCGGACGGGUGAGUAAUGCCUAGGAAUCUGCCUGGUAGUGGGGGAUAACGUCCGGAAACGGGCGCUAAUACCGCAUACGUCCUGAGGGAGAAAGUGGGGGAUCUUCGGACCUCACGCUAUCAGAUGAGCCUAGGUCGGAUUAGCUAGUUGGUGGGGUAAAGGCCUACCAAGGCGACGAUCCGUAACUGGUCUGAGAGGAUGAUCAGUUACACUGGAACUGAGACACGGUCCAGACUCCUACGGGAGGCAGCAGUGGGGAAUAUUGGACAAUGGGCGAAAGCCUGAUCCAGCCAUGCCGCGUGUGUGAAGAAGGUCUUCGGAUUGUAAAGCACUUUAAGUUGGGAGGAAGGGCAGUAAGUUAAUACCUUGCUGUUUUGACGUUACCAACAGAAUAAGCACCGGCUAACUUCGUG